CGGGGGAGGCGGGAUCCUGGGCUGUGUCCCGGCGCCCUGUGCUCCGGAGCCUGCGCUGUUGGAUUCGCGCUCCCGGGCCGCCGCCGCGCAACCCCCU
rfam:Canis lupus familiaris chromosome 1, whole genome shotgun sequence.